rnacentral:rRNA from 1 species
UACGAAGGGGGCUAGCGUUGCUCGGAAUCACUGGGCGUAAAGCGCACGUAGGCGGAUCUUUAAGUCAGGGGUGAGAUCCUGGAGCUCAACUCCAGAACUGCCUUUGAUACUGGGGAUCUCGAGUCCGGGAGAGGUGAGUGGAACUGCGAGUGUAGAGGUGAAAUUCGUAGAUAUUCGCAAGAACACCAGUGGCGAAGGCGGCUCACUGGCCCGGUACUGACGCUGAGGUGCGAAAGCGUGGGGAGCAAACAGG